rnacentral:sRNA from 1 species
CGCCGGAUAUGUGUCGGCAGGAUGAGAACCGUGAGUAGGUUCGACGACGAGCGAAAGCGAGUCGAACAGCUGAGCUUGCGAAGCUGGCCCGCAGGGUGAGGACUUAGUCCGAAUAAUCCUGCCGCCCCAGCCA